UUUUUUUUUAUAUAGAGAUAGCUAGCUAAAAAGGUAGUAUAAUUAUAUAUUUCCUAGUUCUUUCUUUUGAGACAGUCUGGGAGCAGUGAUAUCUCAAAUGUAAUGAGCACAUAUUCUCUCAGAUUUUGGUGUCUAAAUACCAUUUUCCACUAAAAGGAAUCAUACCUUCUUGGAGAAAUUACUGAUUCCUCGGCUGGGUAAAAGAAAGUACAGAUGAGCCAGAACAUCGGUUUGUAGAGGUAAACAAUAAAAUGUUCCAAAAAUUAUGGAUCUAUGUUAAGAAAACUCACAAGCCAGUUUGGGGAGUCUCUCAUUAACCAAAUCUGAUUCCAUUUAAUAAGGAAUGAUAAUAACACAUUCCAACUUGUUGAAUAAAAAAGGACUCCAUGAGACUAUAUCUGAAUAUAUGAAUAAAAAAAGGUAGAAGAUUUUCCAAAUCCAUAUAUAUACACAGAGAAAUGCCAAUUAAUAAGUACAAGAGGAAUACUUUUACAACCAUCAUAGUAAUAAAGAAUUCAGCAAGUCCUUAAUGCAAGCAAAACAUAUGAAUGAAAGUUAGACAAUGCCCCAAAUAUUUACAUAAUAUUUAUAUAAUCAAAUUACCUUUUUGGCACAAAAUACUUAUAAACUACAAAAAUAAAAAAGUAUCUAUACAAUGAAGAAAGCUGGAAACUUUUUAUGAAGUACUUUUGGCUAAUAUAAGCCUUAUAGGACAAACUGAGUUUCUUUACAACUUGAUGGAAUGCAAUAAUAUCACAGUGUCACUGCUCUUGAUAUUUCUGCUCAAAAUACUUGAGUCUAAUCAUGAUGAAAAAUCAACAAAACUAAAUUUAAAGACACACUACAAACAACUGACCUGUAAUUUUCACAAGUGUCAAGGUUACACACAUGUCAAAUAUAAAAGGAAUGAAUCCAACUUGAAGGAGACUAAACAACUAAAUAUAAUUAGGUCCUUUCUAUAAAGGAUUUUACUGGAAAAUAUGGGGAAAUGUGAAUAAAAUCUGUGUAGGAGAUAAUAGUAACCUAUACACUUAACUUUUUGAUUUUUGAUGGUUAUUUUUGAUGGUUAUUUUGUACUUCUUUGUAAUAAACUUAUACUAACAUUUCCAGGAGACAAUGGUACUUAAAUUGGCAACUUAAUUUAAAAUGAUUUUUUAAAAGAAAAAAAAGUUCUUGAAUUAUUCUUUUGAAUUCUCACAAUUUUAAAGGUAUUCUAAGAUAAAAUGUAGAUACACAAAGUGCAGACAAAACUGAAGAAAUCUGAAUAAGAUCUGUGUAUUGUUUUAAUGUCUUAUCCAGGAUGUGGUAUUCUACUAUAACAUCUUACCAAAAGUUCCCAUUAAGGGAAAUUAUUUACAGGGUAUGAGAAAAUUUAUGUUUUAUUCUGUAUUCUUUGUGCAUCUACAAGUAUCUGAAAAAAGUGUAUUUAUAAAGAAACGUAAAAUACAAGUUAAAAUUGAAGGACUAGUAUUUAUUAAUACUAACUUCUCAUGGAAUCAUUGUAAUGGCUCUAUGGCAUCGGUAUUAUUUUUGAUAUUAUUAUAUUCAGUAGAUAGAUUAAGAAAAGAAAGUGAGAGAGUUUAAGUAAUACACAUAAGUUUUGACUUCUAGUAAGUAGAAGAAAUGGAAUUGCAUUAAAAUACUAUUUAAUUUUCCAAAUAGAAAAAUAUUGUAAAAUAAAUAACCUAGAAGAAAGAUUUUAAAGACAUACAAUACUAUUACUUGUAGAAAUUAAUAAAUGCAUUUUUGUCAAGGUAAGUAGAUCUAAUUUUUUUAAAAAAAGCUAGAAGUCAUAAAAUAUAACAAUAAGUAGAGGAUAGGAAAGGCAGCAGAAUACAACAGACACUAGUAUGGCAGUAUGUAAAAACGUGGAUGUAUAACCGAUGUGACUCUGCAAUCUGUAUAUGGGGUAAAAAUGGGAGUUCAUAACCCACUUGAAUCAAAUGUAUGAAAUAUGAUAUAUCAAGAGCUAUGUAAUGUUUUGAAAAUAAAAUAAAAUAAAAUAUAACAACAAUAAUAAAUUAUUUGUUC
rnacentral:lncRNA from 1 species